rnacentral:rRNA from 1 species
UCCUACGGGAGGCAGCAGUGGGGAAUAUUGGACAAUGGGCGCAAGCCUGAUCCAGCAAUUCCGCGUGUGUGAAGAAGGCCUUCGGGUUGUAAAGCACUUUUAUCAGGAGCGAAAUCUGCAGGGCUAAUACCCAUGCAGUCUGACGGUACCUAGGUAAUAGCACCGGCUAACUCCGUGCCAGCAGCCGCGGUAAUACG